GUGUGUUGGUGUAAUGUCGUUCAGUGUUGUGACUUUUUACACUUAUUUUUGCAAUAUUAAUUGUUAAAAAAUUAUAAAUUGUUAUUAAAUCGAUUAAUUAAAUUAUUGUGAACAGAUUGUGAUAUAAAUUAUUACUGACUUUUGUGAAUUUUGGCCAAAAUCAAUGGACAUGUCAACGCCUUUUGAGCUGACAAAGGCAAAUAUUAACUUGUUAAAUAAUAAACAAAUGAUAACAAAAAGUAUUGCUCAAACAUCCUAUGUGUAAAUGUGAUUCAUCAACAAUAACUGUCAAACCUGAGACCAAAAAAAAAAUAAUUAAACUGCUUUGUCAACGAAGCCGAAAACAUUUUGGAGUCAAGUGAGUUGGUUUAUCAUUGGAGACAAAACCUUUUUUGAGUACAUUGUAUUAAAUUUAUUCAUGGCAACAGCAUUAGCCUUGCUAAUUUAUGUGAAUUAAAGUUAACAACAGCUUUAAUGAUAAAGAAAAUGAAAAACUGACACGAUUGAGGCUUCUUGUGGGCUAAAAUAUAACACGAAAAAUACUAAGAAAUUGUUGAAAGUGUCAUAUGAUACAAAAAAGGUUGGCUAAAUCGUCUAAUGUGUUAAUGUGAUUUAUCAACAACAAUCGUUAAAACUGGGACCAAAAAAAAUAAUUAAAUUGCUUUGUCAAUGAAGCCAAAAUCAUUUUGGAGUCAAUUCCAUCAAAUUCAUUCAUGGCAAAAGCAUUGGUAUUGCUAAUGUAUGUAAAAUAAAAUAUACAAAAGCUUCAAUGAUAAAGAAAAGAAAGCUACUGCAUUAUUUAAAAUACAACAUGAAAAAUACCAAGAUAAUGGUGUUAAUGUUGAAAAUAUGUACGUCGAAAAUAAUAAUACAAUUGACAUUAUAAAAAGCUGCAAUAUGACUUUAAUAUACUUUGAUUGAGCAACGACACAACUAAAAGAUUUAAUAAUUGUUUAUAAUUAAAUCAAAUGAUAUUUUUAUUCAUUACGAUAAUUAUAAGAUUGAUAAUUAACUUUAAAUAAAUAUAGUAAUUCAUGGAAAUGACAGAUAAAAAAAGUACUUCACGUGAAAUUUGAUAAUUCAAAAAAAUUAUAAUUCUAUGUAUUAUAAUAAAAUAAAAUUUGAAAUAAAAAUUAUUAUUCUUUGUAUUGAAUAAAAAAAUUAACAUUCAAAUGAUAAAGUCUGCCAAUGUUAGUCUACCAUUAUGUUUUCUUUGAGAUUGUUCAAAUUAUUUUUUGGAAAAUAUAAUAAUAAAUAAUUUUAUUGAACCUAA